GUGGUGGCUUUCAUGCGCGUCCGUGUGAAGAGACCACCAAACAGGCUUUGUGUGAGCAAUAAAGCUGUUUAUUUCACCUGGGUGCAGGUGGGCUGAGUCCGAAAAGAGUCAGCGAAGGGAGAUAGGGGUGGGGCUGUUUUAUAGUAUUUGGGAAGGUAAUGGAAAAUUACAGUCAAAGGGCGGGCAGGAGUGGGGGGUCGCAAGGUGCUCAGUGGGGGUGCUUCUGAGCCAGGAGAAGGAAAUUUGCAGGGUUAAUCACUCAGUUAAGGUGGGGCAGGAACAAAUCACAAUGGUGGAAUGUCAUCAGUUAAGGCGGGGCAGGGCCUUUUCACUUCUUUUGUGAUUCUUCAGUUACUUCAGGCCAUCUGGGUGUAUAUGUGCAAGGCACAGGGGAUGCGAUGGCUUGGCUUGGGCUCAGAGGCCUGACAGUGGCACACGCCUGUAAUCCCAGCUACUUGGGAGCCUGAGGCAGGAGAAUCACUUGAACCCAGGAGGUGCAGGGUGCAGUGAGCCGAGAUCGCCCCACUGCACUCCAGCCUGGGCAACAGAGACUCCAUCUCAAAAAAACAAAAAAAAAAGCACAGGUCCCCUCCCUCAGUCCUGCAGACUUCCUCAAGCUGGGAAGGACCAAGGAUUUUGGGAAAUAACUCCACCGGCUUACAGACAGUGCACCCCAGGACAAAGAGUCAUGGUGUAAAUUUUAAUUAUCCUUUGUAGAGGCUUCAAAAAAAAAAAAAUCUAGAGUGCAGAGGUUCAGUCUGGUCCACACAGUUCUGAAUGCCUUUUAAUUAUCAUCACACACACCAGAGAAGGUCAUCUUAGAAUAUUUAAUCAGUUAGCACUAGAUGAAGGCUGGAGUAGGAGAGACUGGGAUAGUGGGGGGCAAUGUGGGGAUGGAGGCAGGGCGAGGGAGAUAAAGUCAAACUGGUUUUUUUUUUGUUUUUUUUUUUUUUUUUUUUUGGAGACAGAGCCUUACUCUGUCGCCCAGGCUGGAGUGCAAUGGUGUGAUCUCAGCUCACUGCAACCUCUGCCUCCUGGGUUUAAUCGAUUCUCCUGCCUCAGCCUCCCAAGUAGCUGGGAUUACAGGCACCCACCACCAUGCCCAGCUAAUUUAUUUGUAUUUUUUUAGUAGAGACAGGGUUUCACCAUGUUGGCCAGGCUGGUCUCGAACUCCUGACCUCAGGUGAUCCACCCGCCUCGGUCUCCCAAAGUGCUGGGAUUAUAGGGGUGAGCCACCGUGCCCAGCUAAGAUAUUUCAAUCUGUGAAUAACCCAUAUGGCCUGGUAACAGCAAGCACCUGGGAAUAUAUACAUAUAACCCACAUACGGACUGUCCCGUUCACUCCUCACAACCACUCUGCUAACAUACUACCAUCACCCCAUUUUAGAGAUGAGGAAACUGAGGCACUGAGAGGUAAAGUAACUUGCACAGGAUCACAAGCCAGCCGAGAAGUGGUAGAGCUUGGAUUUGAACUUACACAAUCUGGGACUCAUACUCUUAAUACACAGUGGUACUGUCAAUACAGGAGACACAUGUGGCUAUUUAAUUAAAAGUAGUUGGGCAGAGUGGCUCACUCCUAUAAUCUCAGCAUUUGGGGAGGCCAAGGCAGGAAGAUUGUUUGAGCCCAGAAGUUCAACACUGCAGUGAGCUAUAGUUACACCACUGUGCUCCAGCCUGGGCGACACAGCGAGACCCUGACUCCAAAAAAAAAUCUUAAGGUUUUUUUUUUUUUUUUUUUUUUUUUGAGACAGGGUCUCGCUCUGUUGCCCAGGCUAGAAUUUAGCGGCACGAUCACAGAUCAUCACAGCCACGCACGACCUCCUUGGCUCAAGGGAUUCCUCCCACCUCAGCCUCUCACGUAGCUGGGACUACAGGUAUGCAUAACCUCGCUGGGCUCGUUACUUUGUUUUUUUUUUAGAGGCAGGAUUUCACCAUGUUGCCCAGGGUGGUCUCGUACUCCUGGAUUCAAGCAAUCCUCCUGCUUCGGCCUCCCAAAGUGUCAGGAUUACAGGCGUGAGCCACUGUGCCCAGUCUCAAACAAAAUUAAAAAUUCAGUUUCUCAGUCACACUAGCCACAUUUCAAGUGCUCAGAAACUUUAUGUGGGGCCAGGCAUGGUGGCUCAUGCCUGCAAUCCCAGCACUUUGGGAGGCCGAGGCGGGCGGAUCACGAGGUCAGGAGUUCGAGACCAGCCUAACCAACAUGGUGAAACCCUGUCUCUACUAAAAAAAUACAAAAAUUAGCCGGGCGUGGUGGUGUGCGCCUGUAAUCUCAGCUACUUGGGAGGUUGAGGCGGGAGCAUUGCUUGAACCCGGGAGGCGGAGGAUGUGGUGAGCCGACGUCGUGCCAUUGCACUCCAGCCUGGGCAAUAAGAGCGAAACUCCGUCUCAAAAAAAAAAAACAAAGGUUUAUGUGGCCACUGGCUACUGUACUGGACAGUACAGACCUAGAACAUGAACCAAACAUCACAGAAAGUUCCAGUGGAGAACACUGCUACAUAUCUGCCUGUUUUAGUUAGAAGCCAACAUUUUAUUUUUAUUUUAUUUUAUUUUUUGAGAUGGAGUUUCGCUGCUGUUGCCCAGGCUGGAGUGCAAUGGUGCGAUCUCGGCUCACCACAACCUCCGCCUCCCAGGUUCAAGCAAUUCUCCUGCCUCAGCCUCCUGAGUAGCUGGGAUCACAGGCAUGCUCCACCACGCCCAGCUAAUUUUGUAUUUUUAGUAGAGAUGGGGUUUCU
rnacentral:lncRNA from 1 species